rnacentral:lncRNA from 1 species
ACCACAUAUCCGGAUUCAUCUGCCACAAAACGAAUCCCCCAGUGUCGGCCGCUCUGGCCGCGUGCUUAUUUUUGACCACUCUUGAUGCGGUUUCGAACUCGGACGCUACCAUCUUCACUUUCCCCAUCGCCAACAACCUCAAAUCAGACCUAUGUUUAUAAGCCAUAGUAGCAGUCAUGGAUGGAGCCCUUGAAAGCUGACCCUUCAUCCACUGUCCAAUAGCCGACCCGACCCGCUUCGAGUCACCAAGCUCGGACCCGUCUUGGUCGGGUCCUUCGUACAACGGCGCCAACACUUCUCCGGUGAGGCUCCCGACUAACGGCUCUCCGUUGGUCAGCUGUUUGGGCCUCCGACGGAGAAGUGCUGACAUCGGAGAACCGGUUCGGGCCGGGCUUUUGGACCUGGACCGAACCGGUGAUAAACCGCGAAUGACUUCGUGUUUUAGAGUAGAGAAAAAGCCUUGUUUCUUGUCCAUUUGUUUUGUGAAAGUGGCUCUCACUAGAGAAGAGAAUAUGGAAUGGAGUCUAGUGAGAGAAGACGAGAGACAUGAAGAGUGAGAGAGAGAGAUGAAUAUGAAUAUGGUGUGAGAAGAGUAAAAAGAGA